GAAAUGCGAUACGUAAUGUGAAUUGCAGACCGUGAAUCAUCUAAUCUUUGAACGCAUAUUGCGCUCUUUGGUAUUCCGAAGAGCAUGCCUGUUUGAGAAUCGAUAACAUCAAUCAUCCCUUGGAUGUAGUACUUAAUGUACUACUUCUUGGGUUGGACUUGGGUAUUUAUCUUUGCCGAUAACACCUGUAAAACAGCGUCGACCUUGGCUUUAUUGUUACUUGGAACGUGUUUACUUGACGCAAGUCAUUUGUACUUCCAAUCAACGUUUAAAUAAAGACUAGUGAGUGACUUAAACCAUCUACACUAACGUGUAAACUUGGUCUCAAAUCAGGCAAGAGUACCCGCUGAACUUAA
rnacentral:misc_RNA from 1 species